AUCACUUGUCUUUUAAAUGGAGACCNGUAUGAAUGGCAUAACGAGGGCUUAGCUGUCUCCUUUCUCCAGUCAAUGAAAUUGAUCUCCCCGUGCAGAAGCGGGGAUAAGNNCAUAAGACGAGAAGACCCUAUGGAGCUUUAGACGCCAAGACAGACCAUGUUAAACACCUCCUCAUAAGGAGCCCAAACCAAAUGGUCCCUGCCCUAGUGUCUUUGGUUGGGGCGACCGCGGGGAAACAUAAAACCCCCAUGUGGAAUGGGAGCACUCUCUCCUACAACUAAGAGCUACAGCUCUAAUGNACAGAAUUUCUGACCAACAAGAUCCGGCAGUGCCGAUCAACGGACCGAGUUACCCUAGGGAUAACAGNGCAAUCCCCUUUUAGAGCCCA
rnacentral:rRNA from 1 species